rnacentral:rRNA from 1 species
GGCACUACGGUGCUGAAGCAACAAAUGCCCUGCUUCCAGGAAAAGCCUCUAAGCAUCAGGUAACAUCAAAUCGUACCCCAAACCGACACAGGUGGUCAGGUAGAGAAUACCAAGGCGCUUGAGAGAACUCGGGUGAAGGAACUAGGCAAAAUGGUGCCGUAACUUCGGGAGAAGGCACGCUGAUAUGUAGGUGAAGUCCCUCGCGGAUGGAGCUGAAAUCAGUCGAAGAUACCAGCUGGCUGCAACUGUUUAUUAAAAACACAGCACUGUGCAAACACGAAAGUGGACGUAUACGGUGUGACGCCUGCCC